CGGCGGACGGGUGAGUAAUGCCUAGGAAUCUGCCUGGUAGUGGGGGACAACGUUUCGAAAGGAACGCUAAUACCGCAUACGUCCUACGGGAGAAAGCAGGGGACCUUCGGGCCUUGCGCUAUCAGAUGAGCCUAGGUCGGAUUAGCUAGUUGGUGAGGUAAUGGCUCACCAAGGCGACGAUCCGUAACUGGUCUGAGAGGAUGAUCAGUCACACUGGAACUGAGACACGGUCCAGACUCCUACGGAGGCAGCAGCG
rnacentral:rRNA from 1 species